GACGAACGCUGUCGGCGUGCUUAACACAUGCAAGUCGAACGGAAAGGCCCUGCUUUUGUGGGGUGCUCGAGUGGCGAACGGGUGAGUAACACGUGAGUAACCUGCCCUUGACUUUGGGAUAACUUCAGGAAACUGGGGCUAAUACCGGAUAGGAGCUCCUGCUGCAUGGUGGGGGUUGGAAAGUUUCGGCGGUUGGGGAUGGACUCGCGGCUUAUCAGCUUGUUGGUGGGGUAGUGGCUUACCAAGGCUUUGACGGGUAGCCGGCCUGAGAGGGUGACCGGCCACAUUGGGACUGAGAUACGGCCCAGACUCCUACGGGAGGCAGCAGUGGGGAAUAUUGCACAAUGGGCGGAAGCCUGAUGCAGCAACGCCGCGUGCGGGAUGACGGCCUUCGGGUUGUAAACCGCUUUCGCCUGUGACGAAGCGUGAGUGACGGUAAUGGGUAAAGAAGCACCGGCUAACUACGUGCCAGCAGCCGCGGUGAUACGUAGGGUGCGAGCGUUGUCCGGAUUUAUUGGGCGUAAAGGGCUCGUAGGUGGUUGAUCGCGUCGGAAGUGUAAUCUUGGGGCUUAACCCUGAGCGUGCUUUCGAUACGGGUUGACUUGAGGAAGGUAGGGGAGAAUGGAAUUCCUGGUGGAGCGGUGGAAUGCGCAGAUAUCAGGAGGAACACCAGUGGCGAAGGCGGUUCUCUGGGCCUUUCCUGACGCUGAGGAGCGAAAGCGUGGGGAGCGAACAGGCUUAGAUACCCUGGUAGUCCACGCUGUAAACGGUGGGUACUAGGUGUGGGGUCCAUUCCACGGGUUCCGUGCCGUAGCUAACGCUUUAAGUACCCCGCCUGGGGAGUACGGCCGCAAGGCUAAGACUCAAAGGAAUUGACGGGGCCCCGCACAAGCGGCGGAGCAUGCGGAUUAAUUCGAUGCAACGCGUAGAACCUUGCCUGGGUUUGACAUGGAUCGGGAGUGCUCAGAGAUGGGUGUGCCUCUUUUGGGGUCGGUUCACAGGUGGUGCAUGGCUGUCGUCAGCUCGUGUCGUGAGAUGUUGGGUUAAGUCCCGCAACGAGCGCAACCCUUGUUCACUGUUGCCAGCACGUUAUGGUGGGGACUCAGUGGAGACCGCCGGGGUCAACUCGGAGGAAGGUGGGGAUGACGUCAAGUCAUCAUGCCCCUUAUGUCCAGGGCUUCACGCAUGCUACAAUGGCUGGUACAGAGAGUGGCGAGCCUGUGAGGGUGAGCGAAUCUCGGAAAGCCGGUCUCAGUUCGGAUUGGGGUCUGCAACUCGACCUCAUGAAGUCGGAGUCGCUAGUAAUCGCAGAUCAGCAACGCUGCGGUGAAUACGUUCCCGGGGCU
rnacentral:rRNA from 1 species